rnacentral:rRNA from 1 species
UUAAGCGACUAAGCGUACACGGUGGAUGCCCUGGCAGUCAGAGGCGAUGAAGGACGUGCUAAUCUGCGAUAAGCGUCGGUAAGGUGAUAUGAACCGUUAUAACCGGCGAUUUCCGAAUGGGGAAACCCAGUGUGAUUCGUCACACUAUCAUUAACUGAAUCCAUAGGUUAAUGAGGCGAACCGGGGGAACUGAAACAUCUAAGUACCCCGAGGAAAAGAAAUCAACCGAGAUUCCCCCAGUAGCGGCGAGCGAACGGGGAGCAGCCCAGAGCCUGAAUCAGUGUGUGUGUUAGUGGAAGCGUCUGGAAAGGCGCGCGAUACAGGGUGACAGCCCCGUACACAAAAAUGCACAUACUGUGAGCUCGAUGAGUAGGGCGGGACACGUGGUAUCCUGUCUGAAUAUGGGGGGACCAUCCUCCAAGGCUAAAUACUCCUGACUGACCGAUAGUGAACCAGUACCGUGAGGGAAAGGCGAAAAGAACCCCGGCGAGGGGAGUGAAAAAGAACCUGAAACCGUGUACGUACAAGCAGUGGGAGCACGCUUAGGCGUGUGACUGCAUACCUUUUGUAUAAUGGGUCAGCGACUUAUAUUCUGUAGCAAGGUUAACCGAAUAGGGGAGCCGAAGGGAAACCGAGUCUUAACUGGGCGUUAAGUUGCAGGGUAUAGACCCGAAACCCGGUGAUCUAGCCAUGGGCAGGUUGAAGGUUGGGUAACACUAACUGGAGGACCGAACCGACUAAUGUUGAAAAAUUAGCGGAUGACUUGUGGCUGGGGGUGAAAGGCCAAUCAAACCGGGAGAUAGCUGGUUCUCCCCGAAAGCUAUUUAGGUAGCGCCUCGUGAAUUCAUCUCCGGGGGUAGAGCACUGUUUCGGCAAGGGGGUCAUCCCGACUUACCAACCCGAUGCAAACUGCGAAUACCGGAGAAUGUUAUCACGGGAGACACACGGCGGGUGCUAACGUCCGUCGUGAAGAGGGAAACAACCCAGACCGCCAGCUAAGGUCCCAAAGUCAUGGUUAAGUGGGAAACGAUGUGGGAAGGCCCAGACAGCCAGGAUGUUGGCUUAGAAGCAGCCAUCAUUUAAAGAAAGCGUAAUAGCUCACUGGUCGAGUCGGCCUGCGCGGAAGAUGUAACGGGGCUAAACCAUGCACCGAAGCUGCGGCAGCGACGCUGAUGCGUUGUUGGGUAGGGGAGCGUUCUGUAAGCCUGCGAAGGUGUGCUGUGAGGCAUGCUGGAGGUAUCAGAAGUGCGAAUGCUGACAUAAGUAACGAUAAAGCGGGUGAAAAGCCCGCUCGCCGGAAGACCAAGGGUUCCUGUCCAACGUUAAUCGGGGCAGGGUGAGUCGACCCCUAAGGCGAGGCCGAAAGGCGUAGUCGAUGGGAAACAGGUUAAUAUUCCUGUACUUGGUGUUACUGCGAAGGGGGGACGGAGAAGGCUAUGUUGGCCGGGCGACGGUUGUCCCGGUUUAAGCGUGUAGGCUGGUUUUCCAGGCAAAUCCGGAAAAUCAAGGCUGAGGCGUGAUGACGAGGCACUACGGUGCUGAAGCAACAAAUGCCCUGCUUCCAGGAAAAGCCUCUAAGCAUCAGGUAACAUCAAAUCGUACCCCAAACCGACACAGGUGGUCAGGUAGAGAAUACCAAGGCGCUUGAGAGAACUCGGGUGAAGGAACUAGGCAAAAUGGUGCCGUAACUUCGGGAGAAGGCACGCUGAUAUGUAGGUGAAGUCCCUCGCGGAUGGAGCUGAAAUCAGUCGAAGAUACCAGCUGGCUGCAACUGUUUAUUAAAAACACAGCACUGUGCAAACACGAAAGUGGACGUAUACGGUGUGACGCCUGCCCGGUGCCGGAAGGUUAAUUGAUGGGGUCAGCGCAAGCGAAGCUCUUGAUCGAAGCCCCGGUAAACGGCGGCCGUAACUAUAACGGUCCUAAGGUAGCGAAAUUCCUUGUCGGGUAAGUUCCGACCUGCACGAAUGGCGUAAUGAUGGCCAGGCUGUCUCCACCCGAGACUCAGUGAAAUUGAACUCGCUGUGAAGAUGCAGUGUACCCGCGGCAAGACGGAAAGACCCCGUGAACCUUUACUAUAGCUUGACACUGAACAUUGAGCCUUGAUGUGUAGGAUAGGUGGGAGGCUUUGAAGUGUGGACGCCAGUCUGCAUGGAGCCGGCCUUGAAAUACCACCCUUUAAUGUUUGAUGUUCUAACGUUGACCCGUGAUCCGGGUUGCGGACAGUGUCUGGUGGGUAGUUUGACUGGGGCGGUCUCCUCCUAAAGAGUAACGGAGGAGCACGAAGGUUGGCUAAUCCUGGUCGGACAUCAGGAGGUUAGUGCAAUGGCAUAAGCCAGCUUGACUGCGAGCGUGACGGCGCGAGCAGGUGCGAAAGCAGGUCAUAGUGAUCCGGUGGUUCUGAAUGGAAGGGCCAUCGCUCAACGGAUAAAAGGUACUCCGGGGAUAACAGGCUGAUACCGCCCAAGAGUUCAUAUCGACGGCGGUGUUUGGCACCUCGAUGUCGGCUCAUCACAUCCUGGGGCUGAAGUAGGUCCCAAGGGUAUGGCUGUUCGCCAUUUAAAGUGGUACGCGAGCUGGGUUUAGAACGUCGUGAGACAGUUCGGUCCCUAUCUGCCGUGGGCGCUGGAGAACUGAGGGGGGCUGCUCCUAGUACGAGAGGACCGGAGUGGACGCAUCACUGGUGUUCGGGUUGUCAUGCCAAUGGCACUGCCCGGUAGCUAAAUGCGGAAGAGAUAAGUGCUGAAAGCAUCUAAGCACGAAACUUGCCCCGAGAUGAGUUCUCCCUGACUCCUUGAGAGUCCUGAAGGAACGUUGAAGACGACGACGUUGAUAGGCCGGGUGUGUAAGCGCAGCGAUGCGUUGAGCUAACCGGUACUAAUGAACCGUGAGGCUUAACCUU